rnacentral:rRNA from 1 species
GAUGAACGCUGGCGGCGUGCCUAAUACAUGCAAGUCGAGCGAACGGACGAGAAGCUUGCUUCUCUGACGUUAGCGGCGGACGGGUGAGUAACACGUGGAUAACCUACCUAUAAGACUGGGAUAACUUCGGGAAACCGGAGCUAAUACCGGAUAAUAUUUUGAACCGCAUGGUUCAAAAGUGAAAGACGGUCUUGCUGUCACUUAUAGAUGGAUCCGCGCUGCAUUAGCUAGUUGGUAAGGUAACGGCUUACCAAGGCAACGAUGCAUAGCCGACCUGAGAGGGUGAUCGGCCACACUGGAACUGAGACACGGUCCAGACUCCUACGGGAGGCAGCAGUAGGGAAUCUUCCGCAAUGGGCGAAAGCCUGACGGAGCAACGCCGCGCGAGUGAUGAAGGUCUUCGGAUCGUAAAACUCUGUUAUUAGGGAAGAACAUAUGUGUAAGUAACUGUGCACAUCUUGACGGUACCUAAUCAGAAAGCCACGGCUAACUACGUG